UACCAUUAGCCUGAGAAUGAUUUCAGUACCGUAACAAUAGCAAUCACAUCCCGACUGAAACAAACAGAAGUAUCCACGCUGCUUGAUUCAGUAUAAUAUCAAGUUGGCACCAAAAAAAAAAUCAAGUUGGCACCACAAGUUGGUUCAGGAUUUAGCUACCAGUAAACAUCACGUGUAUGGAGCCACAUGGACACAAAUCUGACUACAUCGCCUUGGGGAAAACCUCACAACCAACAACACUGUUCGUGCCAUAAUAUAUUCAUUCCCACACAAAUUCAUGCAAGUCUACAUACAAAUCGGCAAAAGGAAGGCAUGCAUCCAGGUGAACAAGGCAUGUUAGGAAAUGGAAAAGAUUAACCUGCCAUGGCAAUCAUUUAAAACGGAACCGCCCCACAAUACUUGCAUGUCUGGAAGGUUGGCCACGCUGAUACCAACAAGUAAAAACAAUAUUAGAAAUCAUUCAAAACAUAACAAAAAUGACAUCGCUUCAUAUAGCUCAAGUAAGCUACCAAGAUAAUGUUGUGGUCCUUCAUAGAGAAAAUGCAGAAGCUUUGCGACUUGAUGCAUUGAUAGAAGCACGCACAACCCUCCGAGUAAGUGCCCCCAUGAACAUGACCACAAAAAGAAAUACACCCAUUGUGCUGUCAAAAAGUGAAGAAAAUUCAUGAGGCCGGAACGAAAAGACGCAAAUCAGAACACAAACUCGAAGCACUCACAUCCUUGUUGUUUGUGAACUGGAUAGGUCAAGGUCGGCCACAGCUUUACUGGUCAAGGCCCACUGCCUAACCGAACCCUAGCUCGGAGGAGUAAAAUGUGUGCUAGAGCGUCCCGGAAGGGUGAGACGGAGUAGGGGCCUUUGUUGCUAUAUCCUGUAAAAACAAGGGGUGACUACAAGCAUGGUGGCAAGUGGCAACAGAAGGAGAUUGUGAGGGCUGGCACAGAAAAGUCCUAGAUCAUUGAGUUCUCGUUGGUUUAAAUUUUUAUGCAGCACAUGUGGGUGGAGAUUGUUAGGGAGGAAGGUGGAGCAAGGAAGGUUUGAGAUUUCAGGCUCAAUAAAUCUUGAUAUCGCUUGUACAUUUUUAAUGGAGUGGUCCAUGACAUGGUUUCCAACAUUCCAUGUUUCCACUGAAUGUGGUUUCGAUGUGAUAAUCAUAAGAGGAAAAACAACAACAUCAUAGAACCUAUUUUAAGUACUCAGAGGACCAUAAUACCAGAGUGCAACAUUUGGCUACCGUACAACAUUUACAUCUACUUAGAGCAAUAAAAUAUGACCUUGAGACAAAGGAACAAUUCAUCUGAACGUAAUAAGCAAAUAAUUGUACCUGCCACUUUUCUCUCUUCUAUAAAGAGCUCCAUGUAGAGUAACCCCAACACCUGAUGCUAUAUGCACUCUACCUAUUGUAGAUAGAGAACAAAACACAUAGCAACCCCAGCACCUCGCUAAUCAAAUUUCAUCUGAACCAGAUAACAAGAAUCCUGCCAGCACAAAUGAUUUAGGAUACUCCUUUUGAAAUUGCAAUAGCAUGCUGAUAGGAAAAUUAUUUAAAAUACCAAUACCUUCAAACAAGAUAAUAAAGAUGAAAAAUAUAUUGAUUUCAAAACUUCAUGGUCAUCUGAGUCCUGUUAAGAGUCAUGUGUCUGCUACACAAAUUACCGAAAAGACCCAGACACCCAGCAAGAUUACACUCACAAAAGACAGGUGCAGUAAAAGCACGUGUUUGAGUUACAUUCGAAUCCCACCUGUGCAGCAUGUUGCUGAUAACAAAGCUUGCAGAAAACAGGAAGCUAAAGUAGUG
rnacentral:lncRNA from 1 species